CCUACGGGAGGCAGCAGUGAGGAAUAUUGGUCAAUGGGCGCGAGCCUGAACCAGCCAAGUAGCGUGAAGGAUGACUGCCCUACGGGUUGUAAACUUCUUUUAUAAAGGAAUAAAGUGAGGCACGUGUGCCUUUUUGUAUGUACUUUAUGAAUAAGGAUCGGCUAACUCCGUGCCAGCAGCCGCGGUAAUACGGAGGAUCCGAGCGUUAUCCGGAUUUAUUGGGUUUAACGGGAGCGUAGAUGGGUUGUUAAGUCAGUUGUGAAAGUUUGCGGCUCAACCGUAAAAUUGCAAUUGAUACUGGCAGCCUUGAGUACAGGUGAGGUAGGCGGAAUUCGUGGUGUAGCGGUGAAAUGCUUAGAUAUCAGGAAGAACUCCGAUUGCGAAGGCAGCCUACUAGACUGCCACUGACAUUGAUGCUCGAAAGUGUGGGUAGCAAACAGGAUUAGAUACCCUUGUAGUC
rnacentral:rRNA from 1 species